ncrna:unclassified sequences Cyclic di-GMP-II riboswitch
AAGGCGUUCGGAGGCGUCGAACCGAGGAUCCCGAUUCGGGCAUCAAGGGACUCGGGGAGCCAGUGAUGCGACCGACCGAAUGAGCU